GCCCGGACGGGAAGGGACGGGAGAGAGACUUCGCUUCACAAACCCCCCUGGGACAGCCGGUCCUGGUGCCCCCGCAGGACUCUAGGGAGCAGCAAGCUGGGCUGGUGGGAAUGAGCAGAAUAAUCCCGAGGUGGUAGAUGAGACGUAUCAGAAGCUCUAGAGCUUUGGAGCUGCUGGAGCUGCAGGAUGUCUCGAUUGGCAGGAGGUGCGGGCCUACAGUGCAAUAAAAGCUCGGAGCAGCGCCGAAGAAGCAGCAGGAGUGGGACAAGCAGCAGCCCGUCUACCAGCAGGGCAGGGAGAGCUCAAGAUCCUGGGCACCCAAGCAGACCAGACAGGGAUAGAUCCCUCUUUCAGUGAGGUAGCUAUUAAAAAGGUCCCAGUCCAAAGGCCACAGAAAGGAAGAGGCAGUACAGGACUGGGCUCUGGUGAUGACUGUGAAUUCUCACCACGGUGAGCAGCAACUUGCCCGACGUCCUCCGAUGCCCAGAGUGAGAGGAGACUAGCCUGUGCCCCUGCUCAUUCCUCACAGUGUGUCUCCCUCUUGGAGAGGAAUUCCCAAAAAGAGAAGUGUAUCCAGAUGCCCUUCUCCCUCCUGAACUUGGCUACCUGUUAGUUUUCUUAAGUACCUGAUAACCACCUGCUGAAACCCUAAAGAACUGUUAGUAGGAUCCGUGGUCAUUAGGAUAAUUAACUUGCAAAACAUUUACAGAAGCAUGUGGCAAGAUGACCUGCAAGCAU